GAUGAACGCUGGCGGCGUGCCUAACACAUGCAAGUCGAGCGAAGCACUUACUUUAGAUUUCUUCGGAAUGACGAAGUUUGUGACUGAGCGGCGGACGGGUGAGUAACGCGUGGGCAACCUGCCCUGUACAGGGGGAUAACAGUUAGAAAUGACUGCUAAUACCGCAUAAGCCCACAGCUUCGCAUGAAGCAGUGGGAAAAACUCCGGUGGUACAGGAUGGGCCCGCGUCUGAUUAGCUAGUUGGUGAGGUAACGGCUUACCAAGGCGACGAUCAGUAGCCGACCUGAGAGGGUGACCGGCCACAUUGGGACUGAGACACGGCCCAAACUCCUACGGGAGGCAGCAGUGGGGAAUAUUGCACAAUGGGGGAAACCCUGAUGCAGCGACGCCGCGUGAGCGAUGAAGUAUUUCGGUAUGUAAAGCUCUAUCAGCAGGGAAGAAAGUGACGGUACCUGACUAAGAAGCCCCGGCUAACUACGUG
rnacentral:rRNA from 1 species